rnacentral:rRNA from 1 species
CCUACGGGGGGCUGCAGUGGGGAAUAUUGCACAAUGGGCGCAAGCCUGAUGCAGCCAUGCCGCGUGUGUGAAGAAGGCCUUCGGGUUGUAAAGCACUUUCAGCGGGGAGGAAGGCGGUGAGGUUAAUAACCUCAUCGAUUGACGUUACCCGCAGAAGAAGCACCGGCUAACUCCGUGCCAGCAGCCGCGGUAAUACGGAGGGUGCAAGCGUUAAUCGGAAUUACUGGGCGUAAAGCGCACGCAGGCGGUCUGUCAAGUCGGAUGUGAAAUCCCCGGGCUCAACCUGGGAACUGCAUUCGAAACGGGCAGGCUAGAGUCGUGUAGAGGGGUGUAGAACUCCAGGGGGAGCGGUGACCUGCGUAGAGAUCUGGAGGAAUACCGGUGGCGAAGGCGGCCCCAUGGACAAAGACUGACGCUCAGGUGCGAAAGCGUGGGGAGCAAACAGGAUUAGAGAGCCUAGGAGGA